rnacentral:rRNA from 1 species
AAAAACAUGUCCUUUUGUUUAUUUAUUUAAGGUCUAACCUGCCCAAUGAUUUUUUAAUGGCCGCGGUAUUUUAACCGUGCUAAGGUAGCAUAAUCAUUUGUCUUUUAAUUGAGGGCUGGAAUGAAUGGUUGGACGAAAUAUUAACUUUCUUUAAUUUAUUAAUUGAACUUAAUUUUUUAGUUAAAAAGCUAGAAUUUUUUUAGGGGACGAGAAGACCCUAUAGAUCUUUAUAUUUUUAUGUAUUAUUUGUUUUAGUGUAUUUUAUAUUUAAUAUGUGAAUAUAUUUGGUUGGGGUGACUGUAGAAUAAUAAUAACUUCUAUUUUUUAUUUUCAUUAAUUAAUGUUUUAUUGAUCCACUUAUAGUGAUUAAAAGUUUAAGUUACCUUAGGGAUAACAGCGUAAUUUUUUCGGAGAGUUCUUAUCGAUGAUGGAGUUUGCGACCUCGAUGUUGGAUUAAAAUAAGUAAAUAAGUGCAGUAGCUAUUUUACUAGGUCUGUUCGACCUUUAAAUUUUUACAUGAUCUGAGUUC